UAUUGUGAUAUUUACUUUAGUGUAGUCUGAAACCGAACGCCCAGUGUCUCCAAGAAAUGCCCAUAGUAGUUAAUUCAAUAAAUAUUUUGGAUUGAUUGAGUCAAUGAUCCUUUCUUCUCCUGCAUUCUAGAAGUGAGACAUUUGGUUUUAAAUCAGAGAAAAUUAUCUGAACAGGGCAUUGAGAAUACCAACAUUGUCAGAGAAGAGUCGAACCAGGAACAUCCGCCAGGAAAACAAGAAAAAACAGAAAAACACCCAAAGUCUUUGCAAGGUUCUCACCAAGCAGAGCCCGAAACUUCUUCCAAGAACAGUGAGGAAUAUGAGAAGUCCCUCAAAAUGGACGAUUCUUCCACGAUUCAAUGGAGUGUUUCAAGAACACCAACCAUUUCUUUGGCAGGAGCAAGCAUGAUGGAGAUCAAGGAAUUAAUUGAGAGUGAAUCACUUAGCAGCUUAACAAACAUAUUAGACAGACAAAGGUCUCAAAUUAAAGGGAAAGAUUCAGAGGGAAGAAGGAAAAUCCAGAGGAGACAUAAGAAGCCCCUGGCAGAAGAAGAGGCAGACCCCACGCUGACAGGCCCCAGGAAGCAGAGCGCU
rnacentral:lncRNA from 1 species